UACGUAGGGUGCGAGCGUUAAUCGGAAUACUGGGCGUAAAGCGUGCGCAGGCGGUGAUGUAAGACAGAUGUGAAAUCCCCGGGCUCAACCUGGGAACUGCAUUGUGACUGCAUCGCUGGAGUGCGGCAGAGGGGGAUGGAAUUCCGCGUGUAGCAGUGAAAUGCGUAGAUAUGCGGAGGAACACCGAUGGCGAAGGCAAUCCCCUGGGCCUGCACUGACGCUCAUGCACGAAAGCGUGGGGAGCAAACAGG
rnacentral:rRNA from 1 species